ACUCAAAUGAAUUGACGGGGGCCCGCACAAGCAGCGGAGCAUGUGGCUUAAUUCGACGCAACGCGAAGAACCUUACCAAGGCUUGACAUAUGCCGGACGGCUGUAGAGAUAUGGCUUCCCUUGUGGUCGGUGUACAGGUGGUGCAUGGUUGUCGUCAGCUCGUGUCGUGAGAUGUUGGGUUAAGUCCCGCAACGAGCGCAACCCUUGUUCUGUGUUGCCAGCGAGUAGUGUCGGGGACUCACAGGAGACUGCCGGGGUCAACUCGGAGGAAGGUGGGGACGACGUCAAAUCAUCAUGCCCCUUAUGUCUUGGGCUGCACACGUGCUACAAUGGUCGGUACAAUGGGCUGCGAGACCGUGAGGUGGAGCGAAUCCCUAAAAGCCGGCCUCAGUUCGGAUUGGGGUCUGCAACUCGACCCCAUGAAGUCGGAGUUGCUAGUAAUCGCAGAUCAGCAUGCUGCGGUGAAUACGUUCCCGGGCCUUGCACACACCGCCCGU
rnacentral:rRNA from 1 species